UCUAUGAUAACAAUAGGAGGGAUGAUAGGAUCUUUGGUUAAUGGGCGGAUGACAGAUAUGGUGGGUCGCAGACGGACGAUGGGGAUUUCGCAAAUAUUUUGCGCUGCAGGAUGGCUUUCUAUAGCAUUGGCCAAGAAUGUUUGGUGGCUCGAUACCGG